AACGAACGCUGGCGGCAGGCUUAACACAUGCAAGUCGAACGCAUCCUUCGGGGUGAGUGGCAGACGGGUGAGUAACGCGUGGGAACGUACCUUUUGGUUCGGAACAACCCAGGGAAACUUGGGCUAAUACCGGAUAAGCCCUUACGGGGAAAGAUUUAUCGCCGAAAGAUCGGCCCGCGUCGGAUUAGCUAGUUGGUGAGGUAACGGCUCACCAAGGCGACGAUCAGUAGCUGGUCUGAGAGGAUGAUCAGCCACCUUGGGACUGAGACACGGCCCAAACUCCUACGGGAGGCAGCAGUGGGGAAUAUUGGACAAUGGGCGCAAGCCUGAUCCAGCCAUGCCGCGUGAGUGAUGAAGGCCCUAGGGUUGUAAAGCUCUUUUGUGCGGGAAGAUAAUGACGGUACCGCAAGAAUAAGCCCCGGCUAACUUCGUGCCAGCAGCCGCCGUAA
rnacentral:rRNA from 1 species